GGGAACCCGGCCCAUGUAGGCCCUGGGGCCACAGAAUGCGGGCAACUGCUGUUCAAGGACCAGCAUGAGGGGGCCAGGGCCAGGGUGCUGCUUUUGGGAAUGCUGUACACUUCAGCCAUUGUGGCUUUUGUGUUGUAUAAGUGUUGCAGAUGCAGAGAUGGCUGGGGGGGAAAGAUGAAGCUGCAGUUCUCCAAGAGGAGUCAGGCAAGAAGCACCCAUUGCAGUUGGAGCAACAGCUGAUCCAGGCAGAGCAGCACCUGGACAAUCUGGUGGCCCCGCUGGACCCCCUUUUUGAGUGUGUGACUACUCUGGCUGGAGCCGUAAGAGCUUCUGAACAUGCAGCUACGAACCGUGAAGCUGCUACAAGAUAGCAAGCCAGAUAAGGGUAUGGUGGCUUCAGAACCAGAGGCCAGCAUACCUUUUCCUGAGGACUUAUGUAUAAAGGAAGAUGAGGAGGAGGCUGCUGAUGGUCAGACCUGGGAGGAGCCCAUAAACUGGAGCACAGAGACAUGGAAACUAGCUACUUCCUGGCAGGUGGAACAGGUGCUAAGGAGAAGAUGCAGCAAGGCUGUGGAAAA
rnacentral:lncRNA from 1 species